ensembl:lncRNA
GUUUUAAUAGAAACAAAUGCUUUUAUUCAGCAAAUAUGCAUUAAAUUUAUAAUGUAAUGUAAAUAUACACAUACAUACAUACAUACAUAUACAUACAUAUUUUAAAUAAAUGUUCCACAAAAUAUUAAGGAGCAAAAAUCGAUAAUAAAAAGAACCAUUAUAACUGAGCACCAAUAGUAGGCUAAUUGAGCAGCAAAUCAGCAUAAUUUAGUUUUAGUUUGCUAUAUUUGUGAGGAAUCAUUUUAUUUAAAUUUUUUGGUCUGGACUAAAACGUCCCAUAAACUUACAUUGACAGAGGGACUCGAGGUGAACGUGGGCGGGUAAAAAACACACCCUAGUAACCCCCUGGCUACCAAACAGCAACACUCUUAAAAAAGAAAUCGUACAAAUCUAGUAGUUUUAAACUACAAUAGUAACGUGGCAAUAGUCAGAUCUGUUAUGUAAAGCAACGAAAUAUUCUAAAAGCUUCACACUGUUCGAAGGAUGCCCCACAUGGUUUUGCGGAAGUAUUUUGGCGGAAACUCUGGUUACCAUGGCAAUUUAUUGUCCGGGUACCGACUCUAUUCCAUAUAACCUGUAAACGAAAUUUUUUUUUAUCUACGUUUCAGAGCGUCAAGAAUUAAUCCACAGCACCGAAACUUUGACUUUCACAUCCACAUUCGCUAUUGCAACAUCAUCCGAGCCUCCGUGAUGAAGGAAGCAGCCAGGAGGCGGUGUCUGAUCAGAGCCCAACAUUAAACAUAUCUGACGUCUAUAUCUCCAUCAUCAUCAUCGCCUCUCAAUGUCCAAAUAACUCUUUGCAUUUCCGUGCCAGUGUUUUUGCUUGAAAUUCGCCUUUUUCGUCUGUUUACCCUCUGAACGACUUUAGAGAUCUGAAGUUUUGCCUCAGUUUGCGCAACCGGUGUGUGAACUCGAUCAAACAGCCCGAUCCGAUCGCUGUCCAGGCGUGAUUGUGUGUUGACACCAGGGGAUUCAUAUGAGCGUGCCUCCGGUGAUCCGACCGCCGAGCCCCCUCCCGGGGUCGCAAGGCAUUUCCUUCCAAAUCCAGAUCGGCUUGAGCCGGGAACCCGUGCUGCUGGAUUCCGGCGAGUUCAGCCUGGCGCAGGUCCGAGAGAUGGCAUGCUCCAUCGUGGACCAGAAGCGAUGACGACAUGGUGACGCUGGGCAAGGGCUUCUACUAACACACAGCAUAGAGUACUGCAGGCCUGUCUCUUCUACUGUAUUGCAUUCUUCCGUGGAUUAUGGCCAGAGGUCUUAUGCUUUGUUUGAUGAUGUUUGGGAUAUCCUACAGUACAAGUUUACGUUACACUGAGUCAUCAUCAAGGCAAGAUUUACUUUGGCUCACCUGAUGAAACAGUUGUAUAAGGUGGAUAUUAAAUAGAUAGAAAUGACUAAUCAAAAACAUUUUAUCUGCAUUGUUGCUCUGGAGUUUUACCUUUUUUUUUGCCAUGAGACUAAUACUGUUUUGGCAAAAUUACACUAUAAAUUAAUUAAAAUGAGAAGUGACAGUGGUAUUAAAUUUUGCAAUAGAUGAAAACAUAUUUAGAUAUUUUAGAAUGUAUUCUUAGAAAUCCAAAAAUAAUUUGUUUAAUAUGUAAGAUAAGAAUAUUUAUAGUUGUGGCUUCUUAAUAUUUUUAGAUAUUUAAUUUUAGAAUUUUCUAUUGGCAGAGUCUACCAGUUGUGAUCUACUGAAGCAAACUAAAUUUUAACCCGAAAUGGAGCUCUUAGAGUAAGUAAAAAUGUAGCCCAAAAACGUUUACAUGCCUCCAUAUUUCUCCAAAUCCGGAUGGAAAUGGUUCUUUAGCAACACUCUUUGCACUUUUCCAUACUUUUCUCC